CAAGAAAUAGUUUAUAAAAAUAUUAAUUUUGGGGAUUAAUGAUAGAAUUAUUUUUCUUUUCUUGA
rnacentral:tRNA from 1 species